AAGCAUUUGAUAGAAUUGUACGGUUUUGCUUCUAAAAUUCUAGUUCUGUUUUAAUUUCUUCCGUUAGAUCAGUAUAUAAAGUUAUAAAUCAGAAUGGUUAUAGUUUCCCAAAACCAAGUACACGGCGUUUGUUAAAAUUGUCAUUUGACAAUUGAUUUGCAACAUAUGUAGUCAUGGUUUAAGUGGAUUUUCGGUUUUUAGAUGAGAUGGUCGAUAUUGAAUUAUAAUUUAAACUUAGAUUAUUGAUAUGGGAAGAAAUUUCCUUCCUUCGUUCAACAAUUCUAACGAACGUUAACGAGUAGGAUGAUUGUGGAUAACUUGGCUGGCAUUUCAUUGUGCCUAUGCAUUACAAUUAUUAUGCAUAGUAUAAUAGUUUAUACUAUGCUACUGGAUUGUUAUCCUUCUGUCCAUGAGGCUGGAUCUGGAGGACAAUUCAUGGUGGGUUAAUCCUCCAUUGCACUAGCAUUUGCAUGUGCGUCCUGAUCAGUAGUUCAUGGUGUUUUAAGGUGACUGGUUUGGAAACACGUUAGAUCACUUCAUUGUCAAUCAGACUGGUGGCAUGCUGUCUAAUGAAAGCUGUGCUUUCUAUAUAUUAAAGGUUGGGUGAAGGAGGUACAUGGUAGUUAAGCUCCAGUUUUUCACUAUGAUUUUGGUGAAUUUGGUGAAGUGGCAGUAGACUACCAAUUGAGACCGCAGGGAGAUGAAAAAUGUUGUGUUCAUCCUAAUUCUGCAGGCACCAGAGGUGCUCUUGUAUCAGGAGUUGAUGGUCGAAUUGGGACGUUAUUAACGCGGGGCUAGCAUGUUCGACGUCUUCUACUGUUGGAUCAUGGGUGUCCUUGGUGUGGCCGGCUUUCCAGCUGGGAAUUUUUGCUCGUUUCUUCGCUGUUACUGCCGUUAUAUACGGUUAGGACACCGAAAUAUGUACCCUGAUUACUGCUUGACUCUGAAUUGGCUUCAGUUUGAUCUAAUUGGGACUGUUUGGUUGAGUUGUUGAUAGUUUGGUUUGCUACUUACAGAUAUAUUGGCGUGGAAUUUUCGGUAUUGGUUGGUUAAAUCCAUUGGAUCAUUCAGUUUAGUUGCCAUUCUUCGUUCUACUUACUUUAAAGAAAUGGAUGGUGGUUUUGUAUUGUUGGGUUGCAACACCUUCGCUUAAGAUUUCCGCCUGACUUGUGUCUUGAUCCCUGGUAAAAUUUGCAGUUCGUUGCAGUGGGUUUACCAUUGAGAGAUGGUUUUUUGUCAGCGAUUAUUUCUAAUUGGGAUAAUAUUGGCGCGGCGAUAACAUAUUCGAUGUCUUCUACUAUGGGAUUAUGGGUGCUUUUGGUGGGGCCGGUUUGCUAGCUGGAAUCUUUUCUUCGCUGGUUUUACCGUUAGAUAGGGUAAUGGUUGGCAAAUCUUAAUGGAUGAUCCAGUUUUGUGGCUGUUCUGUGCUCUACAGAUAUCCGCUCAGAUUUGGUUUGGAUACAAGGUAAAAAUUGCAGUUCGUUGCUGUAGUUUUGUGGCUGUGAGGUGGUUUGUGUCGGCAAUUAUGGUUGAUUUAUUGGAAAUCGGUGUGAUGUUAUGUUCAACGUCUUUUACAAUGGGAUUGUGGUAAUGAAACUGCAAUGCGGUAAUGUAUAUUAUCCGUAAUGAUGAAAAUGAGUUACCGUUUGAUGAUCGUGAAACUAUUAUUUUGGCUGUAAAUUACUGACAUCUACAAUCUUAACUUAAUCUCUUAUUAUAAGAUUGACUUAGUUAACCAACUGACUUGGAUGUUUUCAGGGUGCUUUUGGUAUGGCCGGUUUUCCAGCUGGAAUUUUUUCUUCGAUUUUUCGCUGGCGCUACUGUUACAUACGGCUAUACUUGAGAUUGGUUAGUGAAACCCAAUGGAUGAUCCAGUUUUAUGGCCGUUCUGCGGUCUACAGGUGAGAUAGUAAAUUAAUUAUGGCUUAAUUGUUGUAGUGUCUGAGACAUAGGGUUUUCUUUGAGCUUUCCUAGUGCUACAGGAUUUUAUACAUUAAAGGGGCUUUUUAUGCUUGUUUCCAUAAUGGGUAUGGUUUUCUAUCAACUAAGUUGGGUCCAUUUUCUUGUACAUAGUUUUCCGUCGUAUAAGUAGUGUAAACAGUAUUUUCAUUCUUUAUAUAUAACGUACGUUUAGGUAUAACCUGUUGUAGCACUUUUUGCUUGCGCAAUUUUCCCCCUUCCUAUUGAUCACGUUGUUUGAAGGUGUGUUGUGUGUAUCUGCAAUAUUUGAUAUUCCUUGAAAAUGGCAAAUUUUGUGACAAUCGAGUCUGGUUUCAAAUAAAUAAAACAUUCAUACGGAAAA